AAACCGGGGCUAAUACCGGAUGGUUGUUUGAACCGCAUGGUUCAGACAUAAAAGGUGGCUUCGGCUACCACUUACAGAUGGACCCGCGGCGCAUUAGCUAGUUGGUGAGGUUACGGCUCACCAAGGCGACGAUGCGUAUCCGACCUGAGAGGGUGAUCGGCCACACUGAGACUGAGACACGGCCCUGACUCCUACGGGAGGCAGCAGUAGGGAAUCUUCCGCAAUGGACGAAAGUUUGACGGAGCAACGCCGCGUGAGUGAUGAAGGUUUUCGGAUCGUAAAGCUCUGUUGUUAGGGAAGAACAAGUGCCGUUCAAAUAGGGCGGCACCUUGACGGUACCUAACCAGAAAGCCACGGCUAACUACGUGCCAGCAGCCGCGGUAAUACGUAGGUGGCAAGCGUUGUCCGGAAUUAUUGGGCGUAAAGGGCUCGCAGGCGGUUUCUUAAGUCUGAUGUGAAAGCCCCCGGCUCAACCGGGGAGGGUCAUUGGAAACUGGGGAACUUGAGUGCAGAAGAGGAGAGUGGAAUUCCACGUGUAGCGGUGAAAUGCGUAGAGAUGUGGAGGAACACCAGUGGCGAAGGCGACUCUCUGGUCUGUAACUGACGCUGAGGAGCGAAAGCGUGGGGAGCGAACAGGAUUAGAUACCCUGGUAGUCCACGCCGUAAACGAUGAGUGCUAAGUGUUAGGGGGUUUCCGCCCCUUAGUGCUGCAGCUAACGCAUUAAGCACUCCGCCUGGGGAGUACGGUCGCAAGACUGAAACUCAAAGGAAUUGACGGGGGCCCGCACAAGCGGUGGAGCAUGUGGUUUAAUUCGAAGCAACGCGAAGAACCUUACCAGGUCUUGACAUCCUCUGACAAUCCUAGAGAUAGGACGUCCCCUUCGGGGGCAGAGUGACAGGUGGUGCAUGGUUGUCGUCAGCUCGUGUCGUGAGAUGUUGGGUUAAGUCCCGCAACGAGCGCAACCCUUGAUCUUAGUUGCCAGCAUUCAGUUGGGCACUCUAAGGUGACUGCCGGUGACAAACCGGAGGAAGGUGGGGAUGACGUCAAAUCAUCAUGCCCCUUAUGACCUGGGCUACACACGUGCUACAAUGGACAGAACAAAGGGCAGCGAAACCGCGAGGUUAAGCCAAUCCCACAAAUCUGUUCUCAGUUCGGAUCGCAGUCUGCAACUCGACUGCGUGAAGCUGGAAUCGCUAGUAAUCGCGGAUCAGCAUGCCGCGGUGAAUACGUUCCCGGGCCUUGUACACACCGCCCGUCACACCACGAGAGUUUGUAACACCCGAAGUCGGUGAGGUAACCUUUAAGGAGCCAGCCGCCGAAGGUGGGACAGAUGAUUGGGGUGAAGUCGUAACAAGGUAGCCGUA
rnacentral:rRNA from 2 species